rnacentral:lncRNA from 1 species
AAUUUCCGUAGCUAAUCGGCAACGAAAUUCGACGUACGAACUUUCACGAAAGGAUCAUCAGUGCUGCUCCACUCUCAAUUUCUCUGAUUGGCUGGGCAUAUUUGUAUUUUAACGUAUGCUCUGUCUGCAGCUAUGAGUAUUUAAUCAUGUCGAAAGAAGUAGAAGAAAUAUAUUCUGAAAUCCUGAUUAGUUCAGAAUAAACCAGAAAUUUGGGACAAAGCUGCUGAGGAUUACAAAAAUCGCAAUAAAAAAACUGAGGCAUGGAGAAGUAUUUGCGCCCAGUUGAAAGAAAAUUUUGAAAAUUUAAGUGACGGAGAAAGAAAAGAGUUUGGUAAGUUUACAAUUAUUUUAUUACUUGUCUCUUAUUUUUUAUGAACAUUAAACUAAACAUACUCUAAGGUUGGAAAACAGUAUUUAUAAUAAAACAAGUCAUCUAAAUUUUUGACAUCCUUAGCCGCCCUUCCACCUUGCAUAUUUGGUUGUGCUGGCAAAUCAUUCAUACCCAAAACUGUCAUGGUAUCCUCAAAGUUAUAGCCAUCUCUUUCCCUCACGAAAUUGUGAAGCACUACACAAGCUUACACAAUACCAACGGCAAAAUCUGUAUUAACAUUCAAAGGUCGAUGCAAAAUUCUCCAUUUGUUUGUCAGUAUACCAAAGGAACACUCAACAUAUCUCCUUGCUCGGCUGAGGCGAUAAUUGAAUAUUCUUUUUUUCUGUGAAAGUUCCUUUCCUCCAAAAGGCCGUAGUAAAUAAGUAUUUAAUCCGAAAGCUUCGUCUCCUAUAAGAAAAUAACGUAUACUUGGACCUUCAGAACCAGGUAAAGGCUUUGCAGGUGGCAAUUCCAAGGUCUUUUCUUGUAUACUCUUCCAAAAAGUACUUUCUUUAAAAAUACUUGAAUCACACUCACUUCCAUAUGCGCCGACAUCAACAUAAAUAAAUCGAUAGUUCGAGUCAGCAACUGCCAUCAACACAACUGAGAAAUAGGACUUAUAAUUAUAGUUUAACGAACCAUUAAACUCGGGUUUUACAAUUCUAAUAUGAUUUCCGUCUACCGCACCAAUGCAGUGGAAAAAGUUUGCUCGUUUUUCGAAUCCAGUUGCAACUGACUCGCAGAGUUUUUUCGUAAGUUUAGGAAUAAAUUCUUGUACUAAAGAUGACCAGAGAAUGUUACAGACCUCCCGAACAAUUUUUGUACUUGUAGAAAUUCCCAGUCGAUAGCUAUAAUACCGAUCUGUGAAGCUACAUCCACUAGCCAGGUACCUGAAAUUGAAAAAAAUCAAUUAAAAAUUAAAAAUUCUAUACUAUUAUAGAUUUUUUGUUACAGGUCAAAUGGUUGUUAAAAGGUGGAAUAAUAUCUAGUGAUGUAAAAAAACACGUUUUUUUUAAAUUAAAAAGAAACCGUUAAAAAAAACCAAUUAAAAACGCGUUUUUUUUGUUUUUUAUUGUUUUUUAUUAGCUUCCGUUAGUAAUAUGCAGAGGAUUAAUAUUUUGAAAUUGUUUAUGGUUAAAAACGCCCAUUCCAAUAUUAUUUUGACAAAAUAUUAAAAAACUAGCAGUUUUACGUAGUUUUUAGCAAAAAUUUAAAAAUAAAACUUUUACUGCCUUACCAAAAGGGAUGUCAAUAAAAUAAAUAAUAAAGGUUAAAACCGAUUAUUUUUUAACUCCGAUUAUAACCGGUUAUUUUUUCACUUUGUUUAUAACCGGGUAUACGGUUAUAGACCCGAGAUAUCACUAUUUCCAUUAUAAUCCAUUCAAAUCCGACCAAUUAAAAAAAAAUUGCUAAAAAAAAUCGCAUUCGCCUCUGUCUGAACGUAACCUUUGGCCAUUUCCACCAAACAGAUUUUAAGUUUACUUAAAAGUUAAGUAUCGAAUGCAAUGUAAAUUUUCUAUCUUUAAGCUCGGCUUAGCUUAAGUCACACUUAACUUAAGUAUACAAUGUGCCUGAUGGAAAUGGCCAUUAAUCCACAACAAAAAAGAGCAGAAGAGAAAAAAAAAAUCACCAUAUAUAUUACCAAGUAAACCAUAGAGAAAAUAAUAUUUUUUUAAGAACCGGAUAUUUGCAAUAACCGGUGUUUUAUGUCAGUUAUAACCGGAUAGUUUUAUUUCAUAAUAAAAUAACCGGUUACUAAAAAACCGGUGUUUCACCAAAAAAUGACAUCCCUACUUACCAAUUAUUUCUUUAACGUUAGCAUCAUUGCCUUGCCUUCGGGAAAUCACCGAAAUUUCGCUCGUCAUUCGUCGUUCGUCUUCGUUGAAAAUUAAAAACCGGGGGAAUUACCGAUCUGCUUUUGCAGGUGUUCUGGUUUUAUUUUGUGAUUUACCAGUCUUACUGCAAAAUUGUUUACGUUUCGUGCUUAUUUAAGUAAGUCUGAUUUAGUAAAUAGGUUUACAAUCAAAAGCAUUUUUCCUGCGUCUUAUGUUAUUUAAUUAUUUGAUACCUGCUGUAUAUUGACAAACAUUAAAUAUUUACAAUGUCUUCGAGUUCUUCGCGUGAUUCCCGGGGAAGGAAAAAUUGUAAAGUGUAUUCCCUCUUUAAAAUGAUAAAAACUCAGAGCAAAACUCCUCAAGUAGAGUGCAUAUUUUGUGCUCUUCAAUUGUCUAAAAAUGGGACACGUAUGGUAGGGCACAUUAAAAAGUGCCAAAAAUGCCCAGAAGAAAUUAAAUUAAAAUAUGGACUGACUGACGGAAAGCACCAAAAAAUUGGACCAUUACAAACAAUACAAGAAAUCGAGGCAAAAGGUAUGUAUUAGUUACUUAGUUAGUAUUAAAACUCUGAAAACUCAAGAAAGAAUAUAAAUUAUAAUAAAGAAAAUAUACAGGGUGUCCCGAAUUGCAUUGAAAUAGGCUCACCAACAACAGAGCCUCAAAAAUCGUAUAUGUAGCGCAUAACCUAAAAUUAAUGAGUCAACUUGAGGAAUCAUCCAGUUCAGAGCCUACUGCUGGCUCUAGCUUAACAAUCAAUCCUGCAGUAGUUUCUGAACCAGAAGCAAUGAUCAUAUCCAGUUCUGAGGCAGAGUCGGAUUCAGAAAUAAAUAAUGAAGAGGGUGAACCUUCAGAGCUUGAAGAUAUGGAUAGCGAAUCCAGUGAUGAUUCAUUUAAAGGCUUUGAAUAAAAAUAAAUGUUUUUAAUUAAUAAUAGGUUGUUUUUUUAAAUAAAUUAUUUAAGAAACAAAGAAACUAAAUAAGACUAACUUUGAUAUAUAAAUAUUUGAUAUUAUACCUACCUUUUAUAAUAUUUUUGGCAAUAAGUUAACAGUUCCGACAUAAAAACCCAGAUUUAAAAAAAAAAAACAAUUAAAACAAAAAAAACCGAAGGCUUCGUUUUUUUUACAAUAAAAAACGGUUUUUUUUAAAAAAAAUCGUUCUGUUUUUUUUUGGUUACAUCACUAAUAAUAUCAGAGACCAGUGGCUUACAGGGUAGAACCGAGACAAAAACUCAAAAAAAUCAGGAGCUGCUUCAUCGAAACUGAGAAAGUAUGUGUAUCACGAAGAACUAAAUUUUCUCGAGAAGGUCUUAUAUCACCGGUCAACUGAGUCUAACAUGGCCUAUAAGCAGACAGAUGAGGCAGGUCAGCAGGAAACAGAAGAACUCCAAUCAGCAGAUCGAGGGAUGGAGGGAGACUCCAGAUGCAACCCACCAAAUUUCGCAAACUCCAUCUGCAAAAACCCUCACCGUAAAGACUACAGGUGUACAGCAGUCAACGAGAAGGAGGAAGCGAACUCUCGACGAAUUUGAACUAAGGAUGCUAAAAUCGAUUGAGGCAGGAGACCAAGACGACCGUAAUAAGAAAUUUUUUAAGGGCAUUCUUCCUUCUAUUCAAAAGUUCAAUGACAACCAGAUUGUAGAUUUCCAGAUGGGAGUUCUGCAGAAAAACAUUCAGAACGCUGUUUCUAUUCCAACAACCCAACAUCAACAGCUACAGAUUUAUACUCUCCCAUACUCUCAACAACAAACACAACAAUACCCCUGCAACAAUCCAUUGCAGAACUCUCAGCAGUAGCAGUCGUCUGGCCUUUCAUACACUUCACUGCUACCCAGUGUCUCCAAUCAACAUCAAACGAUUCCAUCAAGUAACAAUUCUACUAACGUAAUAUCUCCACCUUACCUGUCUCCUGAUUCUAAUGACACACAAUCUACGAGUAAUUAUAACGAUUUGUCAUCCCCUUUCUUACAGAAUUCAUAGACUUUUGAUUUUUUUGAAGUGGAAAUAUGUAUAUGUAUUCUUUCAUUAAAAUAGAAUAUUAACCUAAAUUGUAUACUUUGUUUUUUAUUUAUUUUAUAGAAACUUACCUUAAUGUAACAGCCAACAUUUGUUCAGGUUGGAUGCAGUUCCUCAUAUUUGUAUCUUGUUUUUGUACCUCGGGCUGCACACGUUGCAACAACUCAUAAAAAGAAGUAACGCAUAAUAAUUAAAAAACUUAGUUUCGUCUUCUUUCAAUUGUUGAAAAAGCACAAAGAGGGCUCCUUUCAAGUAGCGGCUUUCUAGCAACGGCUGAACCCAAACUCGUUUAUUACGCUGUUUUUUUCGCCGAUGUAUUAACAAAGCGAUUAUAAUCUUUUUGCGUCUAUUGUCCAUGAUAAUCAGCGUUAAACUGAAUUACCUAGCACCAAAUGGUCCGGAGUUUCGCAAACUCCCGUGUGAAGAGCGCUCCAGGGCGCUGCCCGGCCGGGCGAUCAGACGGACGGAUAAUUAAUAUCCUGACCGUGUGAAAGAGGCCUGAAGGGACUUAUAUAGUUUAAUGAGUGUGUAUUAUAAUUUUGGUGUGAAUUCUCAAAUUUUUUUAAUUUAUUUAUUGGUUUUUUACAAAGAAAAUAAUACUUUUAAAAAUAUAUGAAGCAUAUACAGUUAAUAAAUUUAUUUUUUUGAAUUUUUCUCUACAGGAAUCUUUAAAUGCCAUAUUUUGGAUUGUUCGAAUUGCUCUCUUUUGUGAAGAACCUCCAACAUACUAGAUCAACCCCAAAAAAUUACCCCAAACCUUGCUAAAGAUCGAGAGUUUGCAAAUAUAUUUCUUUUAACGUUUCUAUGCUUAAAUGCUUUUUGACAAGUCGUAAAGUAUAACAGCAGAGUUUAGUUUUUUGUUUAGUUCUGGUGAUGUAUAUCUGAUAAUACACACCACCCAUCACUGAUCAUUUCAGUCUAUUUAGUAUUAUUUUUUUAAACUGAUUCAGACUAUGUUGAAGCAAUGUCAGUAUAGGAAGCACAUAAAGUAGGCCCUAAACGGUCAAUCAUUUUGAUUAAACGAUUGCGCCAAUUGAUUGAAUUAAGCAUGAUUGAUCGUCUAGAAACCCGUUUGUCGAUUGAGUCAAUCAUUGAUGAAAAGUUUGAUUGACGCAAACGAUUGAAGAGGACGCUUGACCGUUUAGGAGCGUUUUGAUCAACUUUUCCAACAGUCAGACGCUCAGAAGCAAUCAUGGAUGACUCUUCGCAGGCCGACAACAACGAAACAAAAUCGGAACGUGAGUUUAAAAGCUUGUUAAUAGAUUUAUAUCGAGAUUCCCCAGAGCUGUGGAAAGUGAAAAGCAAGGACUACUUUAAUAGAAAUAAAAAAAGCGCGGCGUUUGAAAAAAUUGUGGAUGUUUUAAAAGCGUUAAAACCGGACUUUACUGUUCAAAAAUUAAAACAAAAAAUUAAUACUUUGAGAACUAAUUUUAACAGGGAAUACAAGGCAAUUGAAGCAAAAAAAAGUGUCUGGGGCGUCAGCGGAUGAUGUUCCUGAACCAUCGCUCUGGUAUUACAACGACCUUUUAUUUAUAAAAGAUCAAAUUGAAAUUGCAUCAACAGAAACUUCAGAGGUAAGAGUUUUUUUUAUCACAUAUAUAUCUAUUAUUAUACAUUAUAAUUAUAUAUAGGGUGUCAUUAUAUAAAGGUUGAUAAGUUUAAUUAAAUUAUUUCAAUUAUUCAAACACUUUUGUUGCCAUGGGAUUGACCCAGAGGUUUUGAAAAAAUCGCAAAAAUUAUCCCUUAUUUUCUUGACUUCAACUGUUGAGUUACCUUUGGUUCUUUGAACUUGUAGCAAUAGUUGAGUUCCUUGUGUCCAUGAAGCAGGUACCACACUACCGGUAGAAGAAUUUGCAUUAUCAACGUCAUGUGGUUGCAAAUAGUUCCUUCUAUUUCUUAAGCACAAGUAAUUGUGCAAAUGGCAACAUGCCAUAACAAUUUUUUCUAGCUUUAUGUGGUUGAAAUUUAAUGUUAUUUUGGAAUACCUUGAAUCUCUUUGUAAGUAUUCCAAACACAUUUUCGACUAUCCUGCGUGCUCGGGAUAAUCUGUAAUUGAAGAUCCUUUUCUCAUCUGUUAAAACAGCUCUAUUAUAGGGCUUCAUAAAAUUAGGAACCAGUUGGAGCCUCAUCACCACCGAACACAUACGGAAAUUUUAUAUUAGUACCUGGUAACUGUCGAGAAUCUGGCAUAUUCUUCAACACUCCACCAUCUGACACUCGGUCAUUUGCUCCGACAUCGAUCCUCAUGAAAUGAUAAUUUGCAUUUACAAUCGCCAUAAGCACAAUAGCACAAUACUAAACGAACCUUUAUAAUUAUAAUAGUAAGACCCCGAAUUGGAGGGUUUUUGGAUUAAUAUGUGUUUGCCAUCAACACUUCCUACACAGUUAUGAAAGUUCCAUUUUUCUUCAAAUUCCUGUGCAACCUGCGUCCAUCCCUCUUUAGUUUUUGGAAUCUGCAAAAAAGAAAAAUAUGUAUCAAAUACUCAUAGGACAACAUAACAUCUUUACUAUUAUUACGUAGUUUUGUUUUAACUAAUUUAUUUGUUUUUUGUUGCAGUCACUGUUGCCUGAAGACUCGCAGCCAUUUCCUGCUUCAAGUACUGCUUCUACUCCUACUAAUGAAACUGCACUAGCUUCCAUCACUCCUACCCGAACUCCACAGCCUUUUUUAAAGAAAAAAAAAGGUCAGCCAGAUCCAACUGAGCACCUAGUGAAACUGGCUUCAGAGUAUUUUAGAAGAGGACCUACUAGCUAAGGGUUGGGUUAUAAAACUAAAAAAGUUACUUCCAGACCAAAAGCGGUUCGCCGAAAAAAUUAUAAAUGAUGUGCUUUUUGAAGCAGAAAUGAGUAGCUUAACAAGGGACGGAUUGCGUUUUGGAACGCACCCACGUUGGUCACCCUCUCAACCUCCAGCGUCACCACAGUCGGGUUAUAGUUAACAGCGCUGUCUCACCGCACCAUAUACAACAAACAAUGUGGUAUCCAUCUCCGUCACAACAACCAAUGUACUCUCCAUCUCCAUCACAACAACCAAUGUGCUCUCCAUCUCCGUCACAACAAUCAAUACACUCUCCACCUGAAGCCAAUGACAGUUCUUCCCGAGGCUCUACCCCUUCUGUAAUGCAUUCACCACAACCCAGUGCAGAAAAUUUGCAAGAAGAAAGUGCGGCGGACUUGUUUUCAACAUUUUUGUCAAUGUGAAUUAGGCACUUUAUUUUUAUGUUUCCUUUUUUAUUUUUAUAUGCAAAUAUGUUUAAUGUGUAAUAAAAAGAUUUUGAGAACUUACCUGAA